GAUGAACGCUGGCGGCGUGCCUAAUACAUGCAAGUCGAGCGAACAGACGAGGAGCUUGCUCCCCUGACGUUAGCGGCGGACGGGUGAGUAACACGUGGAUAACCUACCUAUAAGUCUGGGAUAACUUCGGGAAACCGGAGCUAAUACCGGAUAAUAUAUUCAACCGCAUGGUUCAAUAGUGAAUGACGGUUUUGCUGUCACUUUUAGAUGGAUCCGCGCCGCAUUAGCUAGUUGGUAAGGUAACGGCUUACCAAGGCAACGAUGCGUAGCCGACCUGAGAGGGUGAUCGGCCACACUGGAACUGAGACACGGUCCAGACUCCUACGGGAGGCAGCAGUAGGGAAUCUUCCGCAAUGGGCGAAAGCCUGACGGAGCAACGCCGCGUGAGUGAUGAAGGUCUUCGGAUCGUAAAGCUCUGUUAUUAGGGAAGAACAAAUGUGUAAGUAACUAUGCACGUCUUGACGGUACCUAAUCAGAAAGCCACGGCUAACUACGUG
rnacentral:rRNA from 1 species